rnacentral:rRNA from 1 species
AUUACCGAGUUAUUCAACUCAUCAACCCUGUGAACUUACCUAAACGUUGCUUCGGCGGGAACAGACGGCCCCGUAAAACGGGCCGCCCCCGCCAGAGGACCCCUAACUCUGUUUCUAUUAUGUUUCUUCUGAGUAAAACAAGCAAAUAAAUUAAAACUUUCAACAACGGAUCUCUUGGCUCUGGCAUCGAUGAAGAACGCAGCGAAAUGCGAUAAGUAAUGUGAAUUGCAGAAUUCAGUGAAUCAUCGAAUCUUUGAACGCACAUUGCGCCCGCCAGUAUUCUGGCGGGCAUGCCUGUUCGAGCGUCAUUACAACCCUCAGGCCCCCGGGCCUGGCGUUGGGGAUCGGCGGAGCCCCCCGUGGGCACACGCCGUCCCCCAAAUACAGUGGCGGUCCCGCCGCAGCUUCCAUCGCGUAGUAGCUAACACCUCGCGACUGGAGAGCGGCGCGGCCACGCCGUAAAACACCCAACUCUUCUGAAGUUGACCUCGAAUCAGGUAGGAAUACCCGCUGAACUUAAGCAUAUCAAUAAGCGGAGGAAAAGAAACCAACAGGGAUUGCCCCAGUAACGGCGAGUGAAGCGGCAACAGCUCAAAUUUGAAAUCUGGCUCUCGGGCCCGAGUUGUAAUUUGUAGAGGAUGCUUUUGGUGAGGUGCCUUCCGAGUUCCCUGGAACGGGACGCCAUAGAGGGUGAGAGCCCCGUCUGGUUGGACGCCGAACCUCUGUAAAGCUCCUUCGACGAGUCGAGUAGUUUGGGAAUGCUGCUCUAAAUGGGAGGUAUAUGUCUUCUAAAGCUAAAUACCGGCCAGAGACCGAUAGCGCACAAGUAGAGUGAUCGAAAGAUGAAAAGAACUUUGAAAAGAGAGUUAAACAGUACGUGAAAUUGUUGAAAGGGAAGCGCUUGUGACCAGACUUGGGCUUGGUUGAUCAUCCGGGGUUCUCCCCGGUGCACUCUUCCGGCCCAGGCCAGCAUCAGUUCGCCCUGGGGGACAAAGGCAUCGGGAACGUGGCUCUCUCCGGGGAGUGUUAUAGCCCGUUGCGUAAUACCCUGUGGCGGAC